UGCGCGCGCGUGCGUGUGUGUGUGUGCGUGUGUGCGCUGCCAGGCCCUUCCAGCGCACCGUCACCAUGCAC
rnacentral:miRNA from 1 species